ensembl:lncRNA
GUUUUGUUUGCAGAGAAUCAGUGCAUCCAAACCGUUUCUAAUUAUACAGUCUUGUUUACUGCGAAUGCAGAGGCCCGUAAGGAGCGUCACGGAGGAGGAAAGAAUCGACCCGCGUGCCCUCACAUCCCGCUGAGGGACUCUCAUCACUUGAACAAGAUUGUUUGGUCCCAGUUCAGCAAAAGACGGGAGAUAGCGCAGAAGCGCGACGCACAAAAGCACUACUUUCAGGCCGCGCUGCUCAUCUCGUCUGGAAGCCUGAUGAAAGCGGAUCAAAUACGACUGACACCGGGAGGGGAGGAGACGGAGGGAGACGCGGCCCCGGGCGAGAGACGAGGCAGAACAAUGGGCCUAAAUGUGCCGUCGCUGCGGCGGAG